GCGCGCCAGGUUCGGGUCCUGGCCUCGCGCGCGGGUCACGUGGCGGCGAGCGCUGGGCGGCGGGUCCAGACUCCCGCGUCGCCCACAGGACCUGGCGGUGCGGUGUCCCGGGCUCUGCCUCCCUGUGGCUCCGAGAAGUGGGAUCGGGUGAGUGCGGAGCGCCUUGCUGGCGCCUGGGAGCGCAGCCCUGGUCCCCGCGGUGCAGGCGGGCGGCCGCGUUCCUCGCUGAGCAUUUUGGGUUUCGGUGCGGGGAGUCACUUCGUUACAGUGUCCUCACGGCCAAGCUGCGGUCGAGUGCUGUCCUGAAGCCCAUUUCGCAGACGAGGAAGGCGACACGGAAGCGGUGCGAUGGCGACUCCCGACAGCGGGGCCCCCUGGGAUGCUGACCUGUGGUCCUCCCAUGACAAGAUGCUGGUGCAGCCCCUGAAGGACAGUGACCUGGAGGUUUACAACAUCAUCAAGAAGGAGAGCCACCGGCAGCGGGUGGGACUGGAGCUCAUUGCCUCGGAGAACUUCGCCAGCCGAGCUGUCCUGGAGGCCCUGGGCUCCUGCUUGAAUAACAAGUACUCCGAGGGGUACCCAGGCCAGAGGUACUACGGCGGGACCGAGUUCAUUGACGAGCUGGAGCUCCUCUGCCAGAGGCGAGCGCUGCAGGUCUACGGCCUGGACCCCCAGUGCUGGGGCGUCAACGUCCAGCCCUACUCAGGUAACCCACGAUGGGCUCUGCGCGGAGCCCCCGGGGCGACUGCCCUUAGCGAUAGCUUAAGCAGCAGGGCCAAGCUCCUCCUGCAUCGCCUGGGCUGUCCACCCACCUCCGGGCAGCCCCGUCCCUGAAUGCCCCCUCCAGUUACUCAAGGGGUCUGCUGUGGGGGCAGCUGGGGGCUAGGCCUGCUCUGGCCACUCCUGGUCAACGGCCUCAUGGGCAGAGCAGUGGCGCCUUCUCUGGUCUGCCCGCCCCAGGCUCCCCUGCGAACUUCGCGGUGUACACCGCCCUGGUGGAACCCCACGGCCGCAUCAUGGGCCUGGACCUGCCCGAUGGGGGCCACCUGACCCACGGGUUCAUGACGGAGAAGAAGAAAAUCUCGGCCACGUCCAUCUUUUUCGAGUCCAUGCCCUACAAGGUGGACCCGGACACGGGCUACAUCAACUACGACCGGCUGGAGGAGAACGCUCGCCUCUUCCACCCGAAGCUGAUCAUCGCAGGGACCAGCUGCUACUCCCGGAACCUGGACUACGCCCGGCUGCGCAGGAUCGCCGACGACAACGGGGCCUACCUCAUGGCCGACAUGGCGCACAUCAGCGGGCUGGUGGCGGCCGGCGUGGUGCCCUCCCCCUUCGAGCACUGCCACGUGGUGUCCACCACCACGCACAAGACGCUGCGGGGCUGCCGAGCCGGCAUGAUCUUCUACCGGAAGGGAGUGCGCAGCGUGGACCCCAAGACGGGCAGAGAGACGCGGUACAACCUGGAGUCACUCAUCAACUCCGCUGUGUUCCCAGGGCUGCAGGGGGGCCCCCACAACCACGCCAUUGCCGGGGUCGCGGUGGCUCUGAAGCAGGCCAUGACCCCGGAGUUCAGAGUCUACCAGUGCCAGGUGGUGGCCAACUGCAGAGCCCUGGCCAAGACCUUGAUGGGGCUGGGCUACAAGGUAGUCACAGGUAGGACAGGCCAGGCCCGGAGGACUGUCCCCGUCCCAUCGGGAGUGGUGGGGCCCCGGCCCCUCGUGUGCUCGAGGCAUCCUCAGCAGAGCCACAGAUGUGUCACAGUUGCCAUCCCCGCGGGAGACCCCUGGUCCUCCAGGCGGUUUUCUGAAAGGAGCCCGAGGCUCCCAGAGGGGCUGGGCACCGGCCAUCACACUGCUGGGGGCUGGCGGGGGGGCAAAGGGGGGGCCUUGGCCUCGCCAUCCUGGGGCGUCUGCACCCAGCUGCUUGUUCCUGGUCAGCACGCUUGUCCUCUCUGGCUGCCAGCAGGGCUGCCUGGCCGCAUCUCUGUGGUGGCCUGCAAACACGUGCCCGCUGCCCUUCUUGGGUCCCAGGCGCCCCCAACCCUCAGCAGCCCUGCGUCCACCUCUGCCCCGCUUUGUGCCACCUCUUUUGUUUGCUUCCUCUACGUCCUCCACAUCUUCGGCAAGAAAGCCCCAGGUGGACCGGGACCUCCAUGGUCACAAACAAGUUUCUUGGGUCCACAGGCGCUGCCCGGCUCUGACCCGCGGGUCGGUGGGGCCUGUGUCUCUGACCAGCUCCGGGCGAUGCUGGUCUGGGGAGUGGGCGCGCAUCGUGGACGUAGGCCAGCUCCCUCUGGCUCUGGGCAUCCGGCCUGCUCCGACCGCCCCCAUUCCUGAGCUCCCAGGCUGGUCCCCCCAACAGGUCCUCUCUGCUCUGAGCAGGCGGCGGGGCAGGUGAUGGCAGAUCCCCGCCUUGUGCCUGGCUCUGGCCCAGGUGCUUCAUGCCCUCCUCCAAACCUCGAGAUGGCCUUGCCAAUUACUGGUCGCCUGUGGGCGGCUGAGGCUCCCAAAGGUCCCACUGCCUGCCUGAGGCCGCGUGGCCGCUGAGGGGGCCCUGGGUCCAGAGCAGGACCGGGGACGGGAGGUGCGAUGUGCAGGCAACGUCUGCGCUCCAGCAACACGGCGGCUGCCCCGUGGCCGGCCAGAGGGCGCCCACUGCCUGCUUCUCCAACGCCUCCUUAGACGCAGCCGCAGAGACCGAUUCAGGACACAUGGGACACCCCAAAUGGUGCCGUUAUCCCAACAGGCCUCCAGGUGCUGCCCGGCACCUGGCGCUUUGGGACAAAGACUCGGGCGCCCGGGCCAGCCUCUCCCUCAGCCCCUCCACAGGCCCAGGGCCCUUCUCAGUUCACCCGGAGGCCCUGGGGCAGGGGGUCUCGAGCAGGCACAUGGGGUCCCCUCCAGCCUCUCCCCCAUCCCUCUGCUCGGGCCCGGGGCGCCGUCUGCGGCCUCACACCGCCCUGUUCCAGGUGGCUCUGACAACCAUCUGAUCCUCGUGGACCUCCGAUCCAAAGGCACGGACGGCGGCAGGGCCGAGAAGGUGCUGGAAGCCUGUAACAUUGCCUGCAACAAGAACACCUGCCCAGACAGAUGCCAGCCUCCAUUUGGGCCAAGGACCGUGUCUCAGAGGGGACUUCCAUGCUGUUUAAAGUCGAGUGGCCGUGACACCCCGGCCCCUGCACCCCUGCUUCCAGCUCCAGCCUGAGACCAGCUGUCCCCUCCAGCCAGUGUCUGCGGCUCUGCUCCUCUGGCCCACGUGUCCCUGUCCAGUCAGGGCGCUCCGCGCGGAGACGUGCGGCCCAGGGUCAGAGCCUGUCCCUCUUAAAGGUGACAAGAGCGCCCUGCGGCCCAGCGGGCUGCGCCUGGGGACCCCGGCACUGACGUCCCGAGGACUCUUGGAAGAAGAUUUCCAAGAAGUGGCCCGGUUUAUUCACAGAGGGAUAGAGCUGACCCUGCAGAUCCAGGACGCCGUGGGUGCGAAGGCCACCCUGAAGGAGUUCACGGAGACGCUGGCGGGGGCCGGGGAGCACCAGCGGGCCGUGGCGGCGCUCAGGGCGGAGGUGGAGAGCUUCGCCGCCCUCUUCCCGCUGCCCGGCCUGCCCGACUUCUAGGCGCGCCCGCCAGCCCGCCCUUGGCCCCAGCCCGGCCCGAUGGCUUCCCUGUGCCUCCCAGGGCGUCUCUCUGGACUUUGCUAUGUUGCCUUCCUCACAAGCUAACAUCUGUUAGAAGCUCGGUGUCAGUAAUUCUGGGACAAGCUACCAAGGAGUUUAAACUUCAACCUCAGUGUCUCACAGCUACAUAGAGAGUUAUUCUGCAAAAAUAAACUACGAUUUCGCCAUUUAGCCAUUACUUUCUCCGUUGGUGUAGGGCAGGGCUAUGAGGAAGAUGCCAAUUUUCCUCUCUGCUCUUAAAAGUCCUUGGGCUUAAGAUAAGAAACACCCAAGUCUGGAGUCCCCGCUGUGGCUCAGUGGUAAAGAGCCCGACUAGUACCCAUGCGGAUGCAGGUUCGAUCCCUGGCCUCGCUCAGUUGGUUAAGGAUCCGACAUCGCCAUGAGCUGUGGUGCAGGUCGCAGGCGCGGCUGUGGCUGGCAGCUGCAUCUCUGAUUUUAUCUCCAGCCUGGGAACUUUCAUAUCCCUCAGGCGCACCCCUAAAAAGACCGAAAAAAAAAAAAAAAAAGCAAAAGGAACAUCCAAGGCGGGAGUUCCUCUGUGGCUCAGCGGGUUAGGGACCCAGCAUAACUCCUGCAGCAGCUCGGGUUCCCUCCCUGGCCCAGGAACUUAGGUGCAGCCAAAAAGAGGAGAAGAGGAGACCCGAGUUCUGGCCAUUGUGCCCUGCUCCCCGGCGGGCCGCCCGCCCUAGGAGGACGGCUGCCGCCGAGGGGAGUGUCCGACGCUCCUGCGGCGCUCCCGUCAGAGCUGCAAGUUAGACACGUCUGUUCAGGUGCCGCCCAUUGGGCUCCGACUCGCGGCACCGGGGACCUGGUCCCUCCCCCGACCCGGGGCAGAGGAGCGCCUGCCUCCCCCGCCCUGUCCCGUCAUCAGGAAACCAGAUGCCACCUUCCCACGGACGCUUUAUUUUUCACAAAUCGCAAGUGCAAAACAUAGAUGACCAUUUUUAAUGAGCACAGUCAAAUUUUUAACCACGGAUCUACAAGAAUGAUAGCUUUAAAAAUACAACCAAUUUUUAUAUUUCAAAAAUAUCUCAACUGAAAUAAAUUAAUUUUUUAAAAAG